AUGGGGUCUCUAUGUUUGUAAGCAUUUACAGUAUAAGCGCGCUCAUUCAUUGGAGGUACUGCGGGUUGUUCGUUCCCACCAUGCUACCCAUGGACGACACACUUACACCUGCAGUUGUGAGAGCAGUCUCUCUAGAGUGACUUCCUGCUUGACCUGCUGGAAGAGGCUGCUGCUGCUCAGCACCAUGCUCUCCAGGAUGGCCAGGGACACCUGCUGGAUGGAUGCAUCCAGCACCGUGGCAUUGACGAAGCUGGCAAUCUGAAAGGAGCCAAUAGUUGAGGAACCUACCUUCUUGAUGAAGACAGCAGAGAGGUUCUCCCAUGAUACAAUCCCAUGAUCCAUCAGCUCCAUGAAGCCUGUCAGUGUGUGGGCCAUGAUCAGAGGGGCCCUUACAAACAAAACACAACACACACACAACUCUUAGACCAGAACAUUAGAACAUCAUUGAAUACAACCUUGACAUAGAAAGCCACAGACACCACUGAGCAUUUACACUGAUUGGGUUCCAGGUGCCGAUAAGAAGACUAAACCAGACUAAACCGUCCCAGGCUGAAACCUUUUCCCAUGUUUGGUACGAGGGAAGGCCGUCAUUGUAAAUAAGAAGUUGUUCUUAACUGACUUGCCUAGUUAAAUAAAAAGGUUAACAGAA